GGAAGGAUCAUUAUCGAACGAGAUGCAAGACUGUCGCUGGCUUCCUUAUUUCUCAAGGUAGCAUGUGCACGUCUCGCGUCUAUCCCCCUCUACACACACCCGUGCACCCUUUGUAGGCCCUUGACUGCCGCUGGCGGUCGAGGAUCUAUGUUACAUUCAUUACACUCCGACGUAUGUCUAUGGAAGGGAAAAUCAUAUUAUACAACUUUCAGCAAUGGAUCUCUUGGCUCUCGCAUCGAUGAAGAACGUAGCGAAUUGCGAUAAGUAAUGUGAAUUGCAGAUUUCCAGUGAAUCAUCGAAUCUUUGAACGCACCUUGCGCUCCUUGGUAUUCCGAGGAGCAUGCCUGUUUGAGUGUCAUUUUUAUUCUCAACCAACGUUCUACGUAUCCAUCGUAGGGCAUUUGGCUUGGAGUUUGGGGGUUUGCUGGCUUCGUCAGCUCUCCUGAAAUGCAUUAGCGAUGGUUAUUAGCUCGACAUGCACGGCCUUUUCUGACGUGAUAAUGAUCGUUGGAUUUAGGGGGCUGGAGUGUCGACGUUCGAUAGAAGAACGAUCUAAUGUGAUGUCGCCUCUAAUUCGAGAAAAGGACUCGGACUCGGACUCGGACUCAGACUUUGGGUUAGACUUUGUCUACCUUAGCUACUAGUCAGCCAUUCUUUGGUAGGCGAACGCGGAGUCAGACUCGAACGGUCUAUUCCUAUCGUCCUAAUCCCAGUCCCAUUCUAUUUGCAUGCUUGACCUCAAAUCAGGUAGGAUUACCCGCUGAACUUAAGCAUAUCAAUAAGCGGAGGAAAAGAAACUAACAAGGAUUCCCCUAGUAACUGCGAGUGAAGCGGGAAGAGCUCAAAUUUCGAAUCUGGCGGUCCUUGGUUGGCCGUUCGAGUUGUAAUCUAGAGAAGCGUUUUCCGCGCUGGACCGUGUACAAGUCUCCUGGAAGGGAGCGUCAUAGAGGGUGAGAAUCCCGUCUCUGACACGGACUACCAGGGCUAUGUGAUGCGCUCUCGACGAGUCGAGUUGUUUGGGAAUGCAGCUCAAAACGGGUGGUAAAUUCCAUCUAAAGCUAAAUACAGGCGAGAGACCGAUAGCGAACAAGUACCGUGAGGGAAAGAUGAAAAGAACUUUGGAAAGAGAGUUAAACAGUACGUGAAAUUGCUGAAAGGGAAACGCUUGAUGUCAGUCGCGUCGGCCGGGGAUCAACCUUGAAAUUCGAGGUGUACUUCCUGGUCGACGGGUCAGCAUCAGUUUCGAUCGUCAUAUAAUGGCAAUUGGAAUGUGGCACUCUUCGGGGUGUGUUAUAGCCUUUUGUCGCAUGUGGGGGUCGGGACUGAGGAACUCGGCACCUAGUGCUUGAAGAUGCUGGCAUAAUGGCCUUAAGCGACCCGUCUUGAAACACGGACCAAGGAGUCUAACAUGCCUGCGAGUGUUUGGGUGGAAAACUCAUGCGCGAAAUGAAAGUGAACGUCGAGACCUCUGUCGUGGAGGGCACCGACGCCCGGACCCAAGUCUUUGACGAGGGAUCUGCGGUAGAGCAUGCAUGUUGGGACCCGAAAGAUGGUGAACUAUGCCUGAAUAGGGUGAAGCCAGAGGAAACUCUGGUGGAGGCUCGUAGCGAU
rnacentral:rRNA from 1 species